rnacentral:rRNA from 1 species
CCUACGGGUGGCAGCAGUCGAGAAUCAUUCACAAUGGGGGAAACCCUGAUGGUGCGACGCCGCGUGGGGGAAUGAAGGUCUUCGGAUUGUAAACCCCUGUCAUGUGGGAGCAAAUUAAAAAGAUAGUACCACAAGAGGAAGAGACGGCUAACUCUGUGCCAGCAGCCGCGGUAAUACAGAGGUCUCAAGCGUUGUUCGGAAUCACUGGGCGUAAAGCGUGCGUAGGCUGUUUCGUAAGUCGCGUGUGAAAGGCGCGGACUCAACCCGCGGACGGCACAUGAUACUGCGAGACUAGAGUAAUGGAGGGGGAACCGGAAUUCUCGGUGUAGCAGUGAAAUGCGUAGAUAUCGAGAGGAACACUCGUGGCGAAGGCGGGUUCCUGGACAUUAACUGACGCUGAGGCACGAAGGCCAGGGGAGCGAAAGGGAUUAGAUACCCCUGUAGUC